GGCCACAACAGCACCAGGUUACAGUAGACUUGACUCAGCUUCCUGACUUGGCGCACUGAAGCCUGAAGCUUCUCUUUUCAAACCGGAGUUUAUUGUCGGGAUUGAUCACUUUAAUAAAAAGAGGUCCUUGACUCAGACGUCUUUCUCUCAAAGAUCUGUUACUAGACCGCAGAGUUACUUAACAAUAGGAAGUAAGCAUUGUAAUUAGAGAAGGAACCUUGCCUGGACUAAGGUCAUUAUUGGAGAAACUCUAUCUUCAAUCUGAGUUCAAAAUCUGCAAUUCCAUGCUCUCAGGCAAGACCAAACCGACUGAAUAUCAACAAGAAGACUGAUCAGGAGUUUCAGUCAU
rnacentral:lncRNA from 1 species